rnacentral:rRNA from 1 species
AAAAAAGAAUAGAUCAGAUUCGAAUCGAUGUGGUAACAUAUCGUUUCAUACUAGCACUAAUGCACCGGAUCCCAUCAGAACUCCGCAGUUAAGCGUGCUUGGGCGAGAGUAGUACAGAGGAUGGGUGACCUUAGAGGAAUGUCCUCGUAUUGCAUCCCUC